CCACCGGGGGGCCCCCUUCCUGCCCCCGCCGGCGCCUGGCCCGGCCGCCCCGACUUCCCCCGCGCCCGGCUUCGCUUCGCCCGACGCUGGCUCUGCGCGGCUGCAGGCGGGCGGGGUCCGCCAUGGGCAACGCGGCUGGUAGUGCGGAGCCCCCCUUGGGCCCCGCCGCGCCCCGUGCCCGGCAGCCGAUGCCUGCGGCCGGGGAGCUGGAGGAGCGGUUCUCGCGUGCGCUGAACUGCAUGAACUUGCCUCCGGACAAGGUGCAGCUGCUGAGCCAGUAUGACGAUGAGAAGAAGUGGGAACUCAUCUGUGACCAGGAGCGGUUUCAAGUCAAGAACCCCCCUGAAGCCUACAUCCAGAAGCUGAAGAGCUACCUCGAUGUUGGGGGGGUCAGCCGCAAGGUCGCAGCAGACUGGAUGUCCAACCUGGGGUUUAAGAGGCGUGGUCAAGAGUCCACACAAGUGCUUCGGGAGCUGGAGACCUCCCUGAGAACCAACCACAUCGGGUGGGUGCAGGAGUUCCUUAAUGAGGAGAACCGCGGCCUGGACGUGCUCCUUGAAUAUCUGGCCUUUGCCCAGUGUUCUGUCACGUAUGACAUAGAGAGCGCAGACAGUGGGGAGAAGAACCCUGAGAAGGGCAAGCCCCUGGAGCAGUCAGUAGAGGACCUCAGCAAGGGGCCACCCUCUUCUCUGCCCAGGAGCCGCCACCUGACUGUCAAGUGCCCCCCUUCUCCCCGGCUGACCCCCGCGCACAGCAGGAAAGCACUGCGCAGUUCCCGCAUCGUCAGCCAGAAGGAUGACGUCCACGUCUGUAUCAUGUGCCUGCGCGCCAUCAUGAACUACCAGUCUGGCUUUAGCCUUGUCAUGAACCACCCGGCCUGCGUCAACGAGAUCACGCUGAGCCUCAACAACAAGAACCCCAGGACCAAGGCUCUGGUGCUGGAGCUCCUGGCGGCUGUGUGCUUGGUGCGUGGAGGGCACGACAUCAUCCUUGCAGCUUUCGACAACUUCAAAGAGGUGUGUGGGGAGCGGCACCGCUUUGAGAAGCUGAUGGAAUAUUUCCGCAAUGAGGACAGCAACAUUGACUUCAUGGUGGCCUGUGUGCAGUUCAUCAACAUUGUCGUGCACUCUGUGGAAAACAUGAAUUUCCGAGUCUUCCUGCAGUAUGAGUUUACAAACCUGGGCCUGGACCUGUGCCUGGAGAGGCUCCGGCUCACAGAGAGUGACAAGCUUCGAGUGCAGAUCCAGGCCUACCUGGACAAUGUGUUUGAUGUGAGCACGCUGCUGGAGGAUACGGAGACCAAGAACGCUGUGCUGGAGCACAUGGAGGAGCUGCAGGAGCAGACGACACUGCUGACAGAGCGGCUGCGGGACGCAGAGAACGAGUCCAUGGCUAAGAUUGCGGAGCUGGAGAAGCAGCUGAGCCAGGCGCGCAAGGAGCUGGAGACACUGCGGGAGCGUGUGGGAGAGGCGAAUCCCUCGAGCGGUGAGGUGUGGACCCUUGCAGACGCGCCCCCGGCCCCAGCGCGGCCCUCGGCGCUGGAGCUGAAGCUAGGGGAGCUGGAGGCGCAGGGGCUGCUGCGUGUGCUGCGCGGUCCCGGGGACGCCAUCGCCAUCGACAUCCUGCCGGUCGCCUCGGCAGCUCCAGGCAGGGACGCAGCGACUCCGGGGGCGCCUGUCGGUUUGCCCUGCCCAGAAUCGCCGCUGCAAGCCGCGUCGUUGCUGCAGUCGCCGCCAGGCCCCCCCACCUCUCCAGACGCCCCGGAGCCUCCGCCCUCACCACUGCCUCUGGGCGCCCCGGAGCCCCCGCCUGCGCCCCCGCCGCCUCCCGGAACCCGGGGCCAAGUGCCCCCGCCACCCCCGCCGCCGCCGCCGCCUCCCGGAACCGAGGGCCAAGUCCCCCCGCCACCCCCGCCGCCGCCGCCGCCGCCGCCUCCCGGAACCGAGGGCCAAGUGCCCCCGCCGCCGCCGCCCCCUCCUGGAACCGAGGGGCAGGUGCCGCCCCCGCCGCCGCCCCCGGGAGGCUCCCCAGACGCCCCUGGCGGGCCUGGCACAGAGACAGGCCCGGGCUUGAAGACCAAGAAGCCCAUCCAGACCAAGUUCCGGAUGCCGCUGCUGAACUGGGUGGCCCUGAAGCCCAGCCAGAUCACAGGCACCGUCUUCAACGAGCUCAACGACGAGAAGGUGUUACAGGAGCUGGACAUGAGUGACUUUGAGGAACAGUUCAAGACCAAGUCACAGGGUCCCAGCCUGGACCUCAGCGCCCUCAAGGGCAGGACUGCACAGAAGGGUCCUAGCCAGGCCACGCUCAUUGAGGCCAACCGGGCCAAGAACCUGGCCAUCACCCUGCGUAAAGGCAACAUGAGUGCCGACCGAAUCUGCCAGGCUAUUGAGACGUACGACCUGCAGGCUCUGGGUCUGGACUUCCUGGAGCUGCUGACCCGCUUCCUACCGACAGAGUAUGAGCGCAGCCUCAUUGCCCGCUUCGAGCAGGAGAGGCAGCCGCUGGAGCAGCUGUCAGAGGAAGACCAGUUCAUGCUGCGAUUCAGCCGCAUUCCGCGCCUGCCUGAGCGCAUGGCCACACUCACCUUCCUGGGCAGCUUCCCAGACACAGCCCAGCUGCUCAUGCCGCAACUGAAUGCCAUCAUUGCAGCCUCCAUGUCCAUCAAGUCAUCUGACAAACUCCGCCAGAUUCUGGAGAUCGUCCUGGCCUUUGGUAACUACAUGAACAGCAGCAAGCGAGGGGCAGCUUACGGCUUCCGGCUGCAGAGCCUGGAUGUGUUGCUGGAGAUGAAGUCCACUGACCGAAAGCAGACUCUGCUGCAUUACCUGGUGAAAGUCAUUGCUGAGAAGUACCCACAGCUAUCUGGCUUCCACAGUGACCUGCACUUCCUGGACAAGGCGGGCUCAGUGUCUCUGGACAGUGUUCUGGCCGAUGUGCGCAGCCUGCAGCGAGGCCUGGAGCUGGUGCAGCGGGAGUUCGUGCGGCAAGACGACUGUGUGGUACUCAAGGAGUUCCUGAGGACCAACUCGCCCACCAUGGAUAAGCUACUGGCUGACAGCAAGACGGCCCAGGAGGCCUAUGACUCUGUGGUGGAGUACUUCGGAGAAAACCCCAAGACUAUGUCGCCCUCUGUGUUCUUCUCCCUCUUCAGCAGAUUCGUCAAAGCCUACAAGGGCGCAGAGCAGGAGGUGGAGCAGUGGAAGAAAGCAGCAGCUGCCCAGGAGGCGGGCAUGGACCCCUCGGGCCAGGGGGAGCCCUCUGUACCCAAGUCUUCACCCAGGGCACGGCGCCAGCAGAUGGAUCUCAUCUCAGAGCUAAAGCGGAAGCAGCAGAAGGAGCCACUUAUCUAUGAGAGUGACCGUGAUGGUGCCAUCGAGGACAUCAUCACAGUGCUCAAGACAGUGCCCUUCACGGCCCGCACGGGCAAGCGGACAUCCCGGCUCCUCUGUGAGGCCAGCCUGGGGGAGGAGCUACCCCUGUAGCCCAGGUACCAGCUGGCCUAGGAGCAGAAUCUGUGCCUGUUCUGGCCAGUGUGCAGCGUGUGCAGGACAUACAAGAUCUACGGAACCAGCCCUACAUCCGCGCAGACAUGGGUCGACGCAGCGCCCGUCGGCGUCCCCUGGGACCCUCCCUUCAAGUUACCACCGACAUGGCCUUGUAGCCACCUGGUGGCAGGUGCAUGCUGGGGGCCUGGGACUCGAGGAUGACUAUGACCCCGAACAUUGCUCCAAGCACCUGGUCCCUAAAACAGCUGUACUCGGUGGGAGCCUGGCUUGUGACUUGAGAGCCACCUUGCCAUUCCAGGCCUCUGCCCCAGGACUCUCCCUGAGCCUUAUUUUUAUAUGAGAGUAAUAAAGAUGUUUGCAGAA